GGGUCCUGCUGCUCCUCUGGAAGUUCGCAUGGCGUGUGUCCAGCCAGAGCUGGGGACCGAGGAGGCGAUGGAGGCCCCUGUUCUGCCUGCUGGUUUACCAGGAAGUCCAUGAGCCCAAGAGCCUCGGCUGGUCCUGCCCAUGGGGGUCCUGGCCAUGCUGCGUCCUGACCAAGGUCAUGAGGGCUCUGCCAAGGUGGGGGCCUGGACCCUGGCACCCAGUGCCUGAAGCCAAUGUCCUGUGGCUGUCAUUCCCAUGGCUGCAGAUACACAGAAGGGGGUCCAGCUCCUGACUGGGGGCAAAGGUCCAGGACAGCAGACAGACGGGCGACGCCGGGCCUCUGGCUGCUCCAGGUCCCCACUGGUAGGCGAUCCGGGCCAGGGCUCAGCACCAGUCCUCUGUAUCCCUGCGGGACAGCAGCUUGGAGCCUGUGGUGCUCAGGAAGAGGCUGGGAGGACAGUGGGGGGUGGGAGGUUGUAAUCCCUUGGGGUUCAGGUGGGUGGGGGGCUCCAACCUCAGGCUAUACCACAGUUUCCUGACCACAGCCACCUGGCCAGGGCAGCGCUUGUCUGACUGGGCCGGGUGGGGGCUUGGGUGGCUGGUGACACUGUCCCUCAGGAGGAAUGAGGUGGGCAGAGCCUCCCUGUGCCAGCCUCUGCCCCCUUGGCCUGGUGGCCUGGACGGAGCCAAUCUGCUGGGCAGGACUGGGGUGUCUGGGACCUGGCUCCUGGGGCCCUCACCUCCGGGCCCCUCUGCAGCUCCCAGGGUCCUGCCUGGGCACAGGGCCUCAGUUUCCCUAAGGCCUGGCUCCCUGUCAGGGGCCCUGCUGGGCUCCUCCUCCUCCCUCCCCUGCCCCUGCGGGUUGUCCCUCAUGGGAUCAGACCUCUGCUUUGGGCACCCUGGCACCAUGCUCCUGCCGGGCCAGGGGCUCUCUGGCAGGAACCUGGCAGGGCAGGGCCAGGGACGGACAUGCAGACCCACAGGGAUGCGGCUGGUCAUCCAGCGCCGCCCAGACCCGGCUGAGCCCAGUGCACAGCUGUGUGGUCCCUGUGGUGGAGGAGCUCCAGCACCCAGGAUGCCGCGUGUGACUGUGGCCAAGGCCACUUCUGCAAGGCCCAGGAAGGGGACCCUGUGUCCUGUGCGAGCCCCACACCACCUGCCACCCUGGCUGGAGGGUGAAGGAGAGACCACCAAGGCAGGACCGAGGCCCAGGAGGUGCCGACUGCCUGCCUGGGACCUUCUCGCCCAAUGGGACCCUGGACCAGGUGCAGUGGGUGGCUUCAGAGGGAAGCAGAACCGGGGACCAGCAGCAAGGAUGGCACCUGCUCCCUUGUGGCGUCUCUGUUCUUGCGUCCUGCAUGGUGACCGUCGGCACCCUCACUCUGGCGGGCGUUCUCUCAGCCCUCUGGAUACGGAAGAGAAGGAAAAGGUCGUCGGGGGGAGAGGCAGGAAGGAGCGGAGGAGCCCGCAGAUCCUGAGGCCCUGCAACCCAGGCCCUAUGUCACCACCGUGGCUGUGGAGAAGGACCCCCACCGCUGAGCACCAGGUGGGGAGCAGGCGGCUCAGUUCUAGGAGACAUAGCUGGCAGCAGUGGGCAGUGAGGGCACCAGCAGCUGUUUGCACCCUCAGACAAGGUCGGGCCCUGGUACAGUCCCAGCUUGUCCAGGGACCCAGCACCUCGGGGAUGGGCCCUGCUCCUGGCCCUCGGGCCCGCCUUCCCCAAGCGGCUCCUGGCCUGGAGCCAGGCGGACCCUCUACCCACCCCGGGGCAGACUGGCCAUGGGCGUGGCAUUAAACCCUCUCCUGUUUUAUAAUACCUACUUACACAAGGAUGCCUCAUCACUAGACAAAUGUUACCUCUCAUCAGAGCUCCACCGGCUCUGUGAUUGCUCGGUGGCCGCCACACAGGGGUGGGACCACAGAGUGGGGCGUCCCCUGGCAGGAGCAGUGUGCCCUCCCGCCCGAUGCUCAGACUCCCCUGGACCCCAGGAUGACCUCGAGCCCCUUACUUUGCUCCCGGGGAUCAGCCCCUCUUGUCCCUGCGGGCUCCCUUCCCAUGGGAGCCUGGUUCUGCUGCCACUGCACAUCAUCCCAUGAGCACCCCCUGCAUCCCUGGCUCGCUGCUGCCACAGGCUCACCUUGCUCUUCCCUGCCAGGCCUGGGUUCGGCAUCUCCGAGAGUGCUGGUUGCCUGAUGGAGGGUGGGGUCCAGGGGCCACACUGGCAGGCUACGUGGCAUUAUUUGUAUUGCUUUAUUUUUUUUGCUGUUCAAGGAUUGAACCCUGGACCUCAAGCAUGCUAGGCAGGCGUGCUCCCACCAAGCUAAACCCAGGCCUCGUGUUUAGUUUUGUUUUUAAACUUCACUUUGAGUCAGAGUCUGGCUAAGUUGCCCAGGCUGGCCUUGAGCUUGCCAUUCUCCUGCCCAGCAAGCCGGCAGCUGGGAUCAAGUGCGGGCCUCUGCACCUGGGUCAGCUGUUGCUGGGUGUCACAGCCUCUAGGAAUUCACCAUGUGCAGUACAAAUGCGGGUGUGGACCUAGAGGCAGGUGUGCACCUAGAGGCAGGUGUGCAAAUGUGCAGGUAUGAUGUGAGUGUGGCCUCGCAGUACACAGGACUCAGGCUCACCCUGCACACCUCGCUGGCCAUUGGUAGGGGAAACCUGGCCCCUUAUCCAGACCCCACCCACGGGGACCUGCGUCAGCCUCAGCUCAGCUGGCUGUGUGCUGGCGGCUGCUUCCUUCAGCUUUAAGGUUUGUGGUCCAAACUCUGCAGACAGUCCUGCUGGUUAAUUUUAAUUUUGUCUCUUCCUUUCUCAGUGUGUUCAUUUAAUCAUUUGCAAUAUAAUUGUGUUUCCUGCUUGAGUUUGAAUUCUCUUUGCAGUUUCAUCCCUGCCCUCAUUUUAUCUCCCUACACCGCCUCUAUUUAUUAUCAUCUGUCCUCUGUCUCCUAUCUAAUCUGCCUACCUACUUUGUAGAUCUGUGAAAAAUUAAAAAGGGCUUAAAUCCUUCUGGUAGCCGUCCAGCAGGUCCAAUUAAGAGGCAAAGACCGGCAGAUUGUGUGUGCUUCUACAAGAAUCCCCUUCUAAAGAUAAGAUUCAGGUGGGUUGGGAGUACAGCACAGCUGGAGGCUGCGUCUGUAAGGUGCUAGGAGGACGUCAGAACCCGGGCUGCUGUGCGGCUCGGAGGAACCUCAGUGACACCCGGGCCCUGUCCGCCGGGUCCCAGCCAUCUGGGUGUCUGUCCACUGUGCAGCUCCAGCCUGACCACAGCUUUCCUGAGCCAGAAGCCCGUGACAGCGCCUGGUCCACUCCAGUCUGUUUUCUCCAGAGUCUUCCCAAGUGUAAAAGGUGAAACCACUGAGUGCAACCUGGAGCUUUCUGACCUGACCCUGGUCUGUCAGCACCAGCGACAGGCUGGCACCAGCCUGCGAUGGACCAGGAACCUUCCGGCAUGGAUGAAGCCACUUCUGACCGAAGCGUCUUAUGAUCCCCUGCUUCUGACCUAGGUCUUGGGCAUCUGCUGCCUGGCGCCAAGAGUCUGUCCCUCAGCCCCAGUCACUUCCAGUCCUGACUCUGUACCUUCUGUCUUGGGGCUCCUCGGGAUGCUUCCCGGAACAUCUCCUCCUAACAGAGUUUCAGGUUCCUAAAGGAGUAUCCCGCGGCGGGAAGGAAGGCGUCUAGCACGUGCUCGGCCCAGCUCCCCUCUCUCGGUGUCCACAGAGCCAGGCGACUGGAGACCUCAAGACAGACGCCAGUGUGGCCCUGCGGCAGGCCCCGGCUUCCCUGAGGCCUUUCUUGGUUCAUGGAGCACGUGGCUCAGGGGGACUUCAGUAGCAAUGCACCCCAGGGACCCCAGAUGCUGGGAAAUGGUGGGGCACGGUGCUGGGAGUUUCGAGGAGGUCCAGCCUGGAGCUCCUGCUGAGCCUCAGUUUGUUGGUCUGGAGGAUGGGCCCGGUCUACCUUGCAGAGCUGGGACUGCUCUGGGGUGGCCAUGAAUGUGGCCUUCAGUGACUCCUGUUCGGAGUGACUUACUAAAUUGCAGUUUCUUCCUUCCUUUUUUGUAUUUGUCAUAAAAUAUAUACACUUGUAUUUGUAUAGAAGCGUUUCAUCACUGUGUGAUCCUCCUGUCUCUCAUGGGCCCGGUUAUGCUGCAGUCCUGUCUUCUGCAUCACUCGGGGCUCCCUGGUGACAGGGUUUUUCCCCUUUUCCCAUCCCUCCCCGGCACCACCGCCUGGUGGCCUCUUACUGUGUUUCCAGGAUCAAACCCAUAGCUGUGACUAUUUCUCUCACUGUCAUGUCCCAGUUUUGUCCUGUGAGCCCUG
rnacentral:lncRNA from 1 species